rnacentral:rRNA from 1 species
AUUGAACGCUGGCGGAAUGCUUUACACAUGCAAGUCGAGCGGCAGCGCGGGGCAACCUGGCGGCGAGCGGCGAACGGGUGAGUAACACAUCGGAACGUACCCAAUCGUGGGGGAUAACUAUCCGAAAGGAUAGCUAAUACCGCAUAAGUCCUGAGGGAGAAAGCGGGGGAUCGCAAGACCUCGCGCGGAUGGAGCGGCCGAUGUCGGAUUAGCUAGUUGGUGGGGUAAAGGCCCACCAAGGCGACGGAUCCGUAGCUGGUCUGAGAGGACGACCAGCCACACUGGAACUGAGACACGGUCCAGACUCCUACGGGAGGCAGCAGUGGGGAAUUUUGGACAAUGGGGGCAACCCUGAUCCAGCCAUUCCGCGUGAGUGAAG